GAUCAUGGCUCAGGACGAACGCUGGCGGCGUGCCUAAUACAUGCAAGUAGAACGCUGAAGAGAGGAGCUUGCUCUUCUUGGAUGAGUUGCGAACGGGUGAGUAACGCGUGGGUAACCUACCCUGUACAGGGGGAUAACAGUCAGAAAUGACUGCUAAUACCGCAUAAGACCACAGCACCGCAUGGUGCAGGGGUAAAAACUCCGGUGGUACAGGAUGGACCCGCGUCUGAUUAG
rnacentral:rRNA from 1 species